rnacentral:lncRNA from 1 species
UUCUUUUUCUUUUUCUUUUUCUUUUUCUUUUUCUUUUUCUUUUUCUUUUUCUUUUUCUUUUUCUUUUUCUUUUUCUUUUUCUUUUUCUUUUCUUUUCUUUUCUUUUCUUUUCUUUUCUUUUCUUUUCUUUUCUUUUCUUUUCUUUUCUUUUCUUUCCCUUACUCUUUUUCUUUCCCCUUUUUGUUACUUUUUCUUUUUCAUUUUUUCUAUUUCUUUCUUUUUCUGUUUCUUUUCUUUUUUUUCUCUUUUUCUUUCUCUUUUUUCAUUUUUUCUGUUUCUUUUUCUUUCUGUUUUUCUUUCUUUUUUCUUUUUUUUUUUUAUCUUACUUUUUCUUUCUUUUUCUCUUCUUUAUUCUUUUUUUUUUGCCUUUGUUUUCUUUUUGGCAUUUGCAUUUGUUUUCUCUCCUAUGCUAUUUGCCUUUUCCUUUCCUUUGCCAUUUUGCCAUUUGCAAUUUUCUUCUGCCUUUGCCUUUUGGACUAACUGUGCCACUUACCUUUUGUCUUUGCGUUUUUCUUUUGCCUUUCACCUUUUCCUUUAUGCUCUGUAUUUUGCCAUAGCCAUUUGCUUUGACCCGUUGCCUUUGCAUUUUCAGGUUUCCUUUUGGUGUUUGACUUUGCCUUCUGUCAUAUGCCAUUUGCCAUUUUCCUUGACACUUGGCAGUAGCAUUUUCAUUUUGCCUUUUGCAUUUCCCUUUUAUCUUUGCAGUUUCUUCUAUGUCACUUACCUUUUACCUUUGCCUUUUGCCUUUUGUCUUACCUCUGUUGAAUUUGCCCUCAGGUUUUUGCUUUUCGCACUGCCAUUUGCUUUUGGCCUUUGCGUUUGCAUUUUGCUUUUGGCAUUUUUUUUUUGCCUUUUGUCCUGUGCCAUUUGCCUUAUUUCUUGAAAUUUGGCAGUAGCAUUUUCAUUUUGCCUUUUGCAUUUCCCUUUUGCCUUUGCCUUUUGGACUAACUGUGCCACUUAGCUUUUGCUUUUGCUUUCUGGACUUUGUUACUUACCUUUUUUCUUUGCCUUUUUCUUUUGCCUUUCGCCUUUUCCUUUAUG